rfam:Alligator mississippiensis ScZkoYb_914, whole genome shotgun sequence.
GCAUUGGUGGCUCAAUGGUAGCAUUCCUGCCUCCCAUACAGGAGACCUGCGUUCAAUUCCCAGCCAAUGCA